rnacentral:rRNA from 1 species
AACGGCCACGGUAUCCUAACCGCGCGAAGGUAGCAUAAUCACUUGUUCUUUAAAUGAGGACCUGUAUCAACGGCACCACGAGGGUUAUACUGUCUCCUCUUUCAAAUCAGUGAAACUAAUCUCCCCGUGAAGAAGCGGGGAUACCUCUAUAAGACGAGAAGACCCUAUGGAGCUUCAAACUCAACUACACCCCUAAUUCCUAUACCCCCUUAACCAUACCUGGGCCCUGUUUAGUUAGUUUUAGGUUGGGGCGACCACGGAGUAAAACAAAACCUCCACAAUGAACGGGGCUAUCCCCCCUUAUCCAAGAGCCACACCCCUAAGAAUUAGAAUACUAACAUAAAAUGAUCCAUUAUUUGAUCAACGAACCAAGUUACCCUAGGGAUAACAGCGCAAUCCAUUUCAAGAGCCCUUAUCGACAAAUGGGUUUACGACCUCGAUGUUGGAUCAGGGUCCCCCAGUGGUGCAGCAGCUACUAACGGUUCGUUUGUUCAACGAUUAAAACCCU